rnacentral:rRNA from 1 species
AGGAUGAACGCUAGCGGCAGGCCUAAUACAUGCAAGCUGAACGGUAAAUAUUGUAGCAAUACAAUAUGAGAGUAGCGUAAGGGUGCGUAACACGUAUGCAAUCUGCCCUGUACAGGAGAAUAGCUCGGCGAAAGCCGGAUUAAUGCUCCGUAAUAUUAUGGUGUGGCAUCACAUUAUAAUUAAAGUUGCAAGAUGGUACAGGAUGAGCAUGCGUCUGAUUAGCUAGUUGGUAGUGUAACGGACUACCAAGGCGAUGAUCAGUAGGGAACUGAGAGGUUGACUCCCCACACUCGGCACUGAGA